GACGAACGCUGGCGGCGUGCUUAACACAUGCAAGUCGAACGGAAAGGCCUGCUUUCCCUUGUGGAUUGCGGGUACUCGAGUGGCGAACGGGUGAGUAACACGUGAGUGAUCUGCCCCCAACUUGGGUAUAAGCCUGGGAAACUGGGUCUAAUUCCCGAUAGGACUGCAGGGUGGUGCCUGUGGUGGAAAACGAUUUUCUAGUGGUUGGGGAUGAGCUCGCGGCCUAUCAGCUUGUUGGUGGGGUAAUGGCCUACCAAGGCGGCGACGGGUAGCCGGCCUGAGAGGGUGGACGGCCACAUUGGGACUGAGAUACGGCCCAGACUCCUACGGGAGGCAGAAGUGGGGAAUAUUGGACGAUGGGCGGAAGCCUGAUGCAGCGACGCCGCGUGGAGGAUGACGGCCUUCGGGUUGUAAACUCCUUUCGACCGCGAGGAAGCCACCUGGUUGGAAGGGUGGUGACGGUAGUGGUAGAAGAAGCACCGGCUAACUACGUG
rnacentral:rRNA from 1 species